CCGGGUAACCGUGAACACGUAGCUCUCCGCCCCAAAGCCAGGACGGCAGGGCUCCGGCUCCUCACAGAGCCACGCCGAAACCUGCAGUGAGGGAAAGGGGAGCGCGCCGCAGCUUCCAGGCCGUUCUCGCCCUUCGGACCCAAACUUUCUCUGAAGGAGGAGCGGGGACAGUGCGAGAGAAGAGGGGACGCAGAGCCGAGGCGCGGAGCGUGGGGCCAGAAUGCUUUCUCUGAAGUCAGGUGCUCUUGGACUCCGGACGCCACUGAGCAGAGCAGCGCUGCGGCCACCAGAUUUUAAAGCAAAAUCCCAGGGUACCUGUCAUUUCCCCUGAAAAUAUUUCAUAUACAUCUCUGAGAAAGACUUUCUUUUUUUUUUACAUAAUGAUGUAAGGUAUGAAACAUCACAAAGCAAAAAGAAACUUUUAUUUGGCAUAUAUUCAAAAAAGGCAAAAGUGGGAAAUGGACAAGCAUGCUGCCAGAACCAUGUCUGCCUGAAUCCAAGAAAAUUACAGAAUAGACAAAAGAAGGAAAAUGGACAAGCAUGCUGCUAGAGCCAUGUCAGCUGGACUCCAAGGAAAUACUACAGAAUAAGCAAGAAUGGGAAAACGGACAAGCAUGCUACCAGAGCCAUGUCCACCGGAGUCCAAGGAAACUUCAGUGUAUAUUAACAUUACAAGUGGGCAAAGACUUUGAAUGCUUCACCUUUUCACAGAUUGGCAAGAAACUGUGAUCCUACAUUUUGAAUUGUCUUUCUUAAUCAUUGGUACAGGUUUCAGUAUGGACAGUCAUGAGGGUCUUCACUGGUCCAACAAAUUUUCUGUUUACUAAAAGCUUAUAGAAAAAGAUAAGAACGGAAAGUCUUUUGUGUCCUGUUUGAUUGGUUUAUGUGAAAGAUUCCCUAAAAGAUUUCCCAAGAUUGUCUUAGCUGUUGUCUUUAUAUCUUAGGACCCAGUUGAUGUGUCUGUACGACUCCUUGUGAGUCCAGCUUCAGCUGGGUCACAUUCUCUAUGCUCAAGGACAGGGAAUAAUGACUCCAAUAUUAUUUCCUAAAUCAAUAGUCAUAAUGCCAUUGGGAAUAACACCUAAUAAAGUUAACAAUAAUAAUUUCUAGAUAUCAUCCAAUGGCUAAGCCAUAUUUUUACAGUAAGUGUUUAAAUCAGUGAGACAGAACCCCCGCAGUGCUGUAUUCUUUACCUGGCUUCCUCCCCUACAGUUUUGUAUUGCAAAAUCCUUUCCUUUGCUGGGCUCCCCUACCCCUCAGCUUUGCAUUUGAAUCCUGCCUUUGCUUGGAGGUUGUAUGUAAACCCCAUUGUGCCUGCAUAGUAUGAUUAAGAAUGUUGCUAAUGUAACAUGUAUGAGCUCCCUACUUGUAAACCCUUUUAAAAGUAACCAACCGGCAUGCCCACCCCUGGCGAGCAGUCUUGGCAGCAGUAAGCACCGACUGACUCCAUUUCCUUGUACAAUAAAAUAAAGGUGCCUUUUUUGUUCUCUCACCUCAGUCUCUUGUUUAUUGGCCAAUACAAGUCAUGCUGAGUAAGAACCUGGGUUUUCCACCUGGUAACAUCUCCACUCAAAAAACGGCCAUACUUCACAAUUGGCUAUUACGUCUCUUAAGUCUCUUUUUUAUCUGUAACAAUUCCCCCAUUCCUUUUGUUUAGUUUUAUUGAGCUAUAAUUGACUGCAAUAUUUUAAGUGUAUCACUGAUGAGUUUUUGUUUUUGUUUUUAACUAUAAACAUUUAAACAUUUAUUCAGUAGUUAUUAAAUGCCAAUUGUGUGCACAGCCUUAGACCAGAUUUUUUUUAUUAACUUUUAUUGAGCUUCAAGUGAACGUUUACAAAUCAAGUCAGACUGUCACAUAUAAGUUUAUAUACACCUUACUCCGUACUCCCACUUGC